rnacentral:lncRNA from 1 species
UUUUUCUUUUUCCUUUUUUUUGAUCGGUAAAUAAAUUUAUAUUAUAUUGAUCAAAAUUGAGUAAAACUACUCUGGACAUACCUGACAAACAAUCCAAGCAUUACAAUGAUCUAAUGAUCCAAAACAAGAGACGCAACACGAAUCAAAACAUUACAACUUCGGCUGAUCAAGAACACGAAGUACCGAACUGUUGACGGGUUUCAAAUCUUACGAGAGGAGAUGAAAAACUUGAAUCUUUCAAGAACAAUUCAUAACCAUUCUGGCCUAACUUCACAACUUCAAGGAACUUGAAACUUUGAAUUUGGAGAGAUUUUAACAAAAUCUGCGUUGUUGGAUUCGAAAUUACCAAUUGAUGAAGGUAAAAUCGAACAAAGAUUAAUGAAUUCACAUAUGCAAGGGGUUCCUUUGAGCUAAUCAUUAAGGCUACCUUCGAAUUCUGCUUUCCCGGUUGAAGAAUGUUGAGCAGCAUCAUGUGAAGAGGAAUUUUCAAAUUGCUUACCUUGUAAAUGGGCAGCACACAUUUUUGGCAGCAAGAGAAAAAUCCAUAUCAAUGCUGAAAAACCAAGAAACCCGUAUGGAAGAGGUUUAUAUGACUAGCAUCAUGCCAAGCAAGAUUUCGAACCCAAGCUGAAAACUUCCAGGCGGCCAGACUGUCGGUGGAAAACAAGGGCUGCAAGAAACAGACCCAAUAUGCUGCCAAGAAGAGACACUGUUUGAAAAAAUGAGUAAUGAUUCAC